rnacentral:rRNA from 1 species
UACAGAGGUCCCAAGCGUUGUUCGGAUUCAUUGGGCGUAAAGGGUGCGUAGGCGGCGUGGUAAGUCGGGUGUGAAAUCUCGGAGCUUAACUCCGAAACUGCAUUCGAUACUGCCGUGCUUGAGGACUGGAGAGGAGACUGGAAUUUACGGUGUAGCGGUGAAAUGCGUAGAUAUCGUAAGGAAGACCAGUGGCGAAGGCGGGUCUCUGGACAGUUCCUGACGCUGAGGCACGAAGGCCAGGGGAGCAAACGGG